ACACGACUACAUUAGAUACCCCGGUAGUCCUAGCCGUAAACGAUACUCGCUAGGUGUCGGCCACGGUGCGACCGUUGUCGGUGCCGUAGGGAAGCCGUGAAGCGAGCCACCUGGGAAGUACGGCCGCAAGGCUGAAACUUAGGAGGAUUGGCGGGGAGCACCACAACGGGUGGAGCUUGCGGUUUAAUUGGAUUCAACGCCGGAAAUCUUACCGGGACCGACAGCAACAUGAAGGCCAGGCUGAAGACUUUGCCGGAUUAGCUG
rnacentral:rRNA from 1 species